GGUUAAGCGACUAAGCGUACACGGUGGAUGCCUAGGCAAUCAGAGGCGAUGAAGGACGUGCUAAUCUGCGAUAAGCGUCGGUAAGGUGAUAUGAACC
rnacentral:rRNA from 1 species